GCUGCUGAUCGGCCAGUGGAUGUCGCAGUGGAUAUAGCUGGUCCAUGUGAUCGAUAAAUGGACGGAUGCCCUCCGGGUUCUUCAUGUACUUUGCCACACUAAGAAUGAUGUGGCGAUAGAUUUGAUGAUCCCGUUUUUAUUUAAUUAACUUACCGCUCCUGGGCGCGCUGAAUCACCCGUCGGCGUCGCACUGUCUCCGUUCUGCGACAGCGUUCGCAGUAUGCAAAAUAUGCGCACACCAGGAUGACCAGACCCGCCAAAGAAUAGAUGAGCCAGCUCCAGCUCAGGACACUACCAAAAAUAAUUAAAGCCUCCUACUGAUCCACAUCACUCUAAAAUAUCUUACGCCACAAAUGUUGCGUUCAAAUCCUUCCAGAUAGGCGAAACCUGAUCGGGAUGAUGUUUCUUGACCUCGCUCCUCCAGAAUGCGAAUGGAUACAUAAUUGGCUCUGGACGUCGAUGAAUUUUGAUUCCGUGUCCGGAGGAAAAUUUUGAUAACAACAAAUGUGUACGGUCAAGGGUUCCAGCACACCUCCCACUGGUGUUAAAAUAGUUUCUGUACGUGUGUGUUUUUAUCUUUCAAAUUGAGUGUAAAGUGAAAGCUGUGUUUGUUUACCUAAAAUAUUGUAUAAAAUGCUUAUGACAUAUGGCACAAGCCUUCUCU